AGCAUUCGCUAGGGGUGUUGAACGGUUCACCCGAACCGCUCGACUGAGACAGUCCCUUUGAACCUGAUUGAGGUAAUCCUCGCGCAGGGAAGCUCGGCCAGACCGGC
rnacentral:ncRNA from 2 species